rnacentral:rRNA from 1 species
UACGUAGGGGGCAAGCGUUGUCCGGAAUCAUUGGGCGUAAAGAGCGUGUAGGCGGCCCGAUAAGUCCGCUGUGAAAGUCCAGGGCUCAACCCUGGAAUGCCGGUGGAUACUGUCGGGCUCGAAUCCGGAAGAGGUGAGUGGAAUUCCUGGUGUAGCGGUGAAAUGCGCAGAUAUCAGGAGGAACACCAAUGGCGAAGGCAGCUCACUGGGACGGUAUUGACGCUGAGACGUGAAAGCGUGGGGAGCAAACAGG